rnacentral:lncRNA from 1 species
GCUGGAAUUAAUUGAAAUGAAUAUAAUAAAACGAACGGUAAAUAUUUAUUUAUUUUCGUAACAAAAGGUAUUUGCGCUUAGGUCUCUCUCGAAAAAGGGCCGAACGAUUUGUGUGUGAUUCGUUCACCCGCUGUGUCGUGACU